UGUUGUUAAACUGCUUCAACCCUCAUAUC
rnacentral:piRNA from 1 species